UAACGGCGAGUGAAGCGGCAAAAGCUCAAAUUUGAAAUCUGGUUGCACAAUGCAGCCCGAGUUGUAAUUUGUAGAGGAAUGUUCGGCGAAGCCUAGGUCUGAGUCUUCUGGAAGGGAGCGCCAUUGAGGGUGAGAGCCCCGUAGGACUGACGGUGGAACCAUGUGUACAUCCUUCGACGAGUCGAGUUGUUUGGGAAUGCAGCUCUAAGUGGGUGGUAAAUUCCAUCUAAAGCUAAAUAUUGGCCAGAGACCGAUAGCGCACAAGUAGAGUGAUCGAAAGAUGAAAAGCACUUUGGAAAGAGAGUGAAACAGUACGUGAAAUUGUUGAAAGGGAAGCGCUUGCGAGCAGACUUGAUGACGACACUUAGCAGUUCUCGUGGACUGUGCACUCUGUCGGCAGCAAGCCAGCAUCAGUCUUUGGGGCUGGACAAAAGCGGUGGGAAAGUAGCUUUCCCUCGGGAGAGUGUUAUAGCCCACGGCAUAAUACAGCCACCGGAGACUGAGGAACGCCUCAUUUAUGAGCAGGAUGCUGGCAUAAUGGUCGCAAGCGGCCCGUCUUGAAACACGGACCAAGGAGUCUAACAUCCGUGCGAGUGUUUGGGUGACAAACCCGCUCGCGAAAUGAAAGUGAACGUUGGUGAGAGUUUCCCUUGUGGGAAUGCAUCAUCGACCGAUCCUGAAGUUUUCGGAAGGAUUUGAGUAUGAGCACGGCUGUUGGGACCCGAAAGAUGGUGAACUAUGCGUGAAUAGGGUGAAGCCAGAGGAAACUCUGGUGGAGGCUCGCAGCGGUUCUGACGUGCAAAU
rnacentral:rRNA from 1 species